GACGAACGCUGGCGGCGUGCCUAAUACAUGCAAGUCGAACGAAGUGGCGAACGGGUGAGUAACGCGUAAUCAACCUGCCCUUCAGAGGGGGACAACAGUUGGAAACGACUGCUAAUACCGCAUACUGAAGGAGGGGAUUGCGUCUGAUUAGCUAGUUGGAGGGGUAACGGCCCACCAAGGCGAUGAUCAGUAGCCGGGCUGGGAGGAGGAACGGCAACAUUGGGACUGGGAAACGGCCCAGACGCCUACGGGAGGCAGCAGUGGGGAAACUGCCGCAAUGGAGGAAAGUCUGACGGAGCAACGCCGCGUGAGUGAAGACGGGCUUCGGGUUGUAAAGCUCUGUUAAUCGGGACGCGGUACCGGAAUAGAAAGCCACGGCUAACUACGUGCCAGCAGCCGCGGUAAUUC
rnacentral:rRNA from 1 species